GACGAACGCUGGCGGCGUGCUUAACACAUGCAAGUCGAACGAUGAAGCGGGUGCUUGCACUCGUGGAUUAGUGGCGAACGGGCGAGUAACACGUGAGUAACCUGACCUUUUCUUUGGGAUAACGGCUGGAAACGGCUGCUAAUACUGGAUAUUCAGGCUGCAUCGCAUGGUGUGGUUUGGAAAGGUUUUUUCUGGGAUUGGGUGGGCUCGCGGCCUAUCAGCUUGUUGGUGGGGUGAUGGCUUACCAAGGCUUUGACGGGUAGCCGGCCUGAGAGGGUGGUCGGUCGCACUGGGACUGAGAUACGGCCCAGACUCCUACGGGAGGCAGCAGUGGGGAAUAUUGCACAAUGGACGAAAGUUUGAUGCAGCGACGCCGCGUGGAGGGUGUAGGCCUUCGGGUUGUGAACUCCUUUUUCUCGCGAAAAAGGCACAGUUUUGGCUGUGUUGAUGGUAGUGGGGGAAGAAGCGCCGGCUAACUACGUG
rnacentral:rRNA from 1 species